AUAUCAGAAGGAACACCAAUGGCGAAGGCAACAUUCUGGACCGCUACUGACACUGAGGGAAGAAAGCGUGGGGAUCAAACAGGAUUAGAUACCCUGGUAGUCCACGCUGUAAACGAUGAGUACUAGCUGUUGGAGACGGUGUAAAGGCUCUAGUGGCGCAGCUAACGCGAUAAGUACUCCUCCUGGGGACUACGUCAGCAAGGCUAAAACUCAAAGGAAUUGACGGUGACCCCCACAAGCG
rnacentral:rRNA from 1 species